GACGAACGCUGGCGGCGUGCUUAACACAUGCAAGUCGAACGGAAAGGCCCUGCUUUUGUGGGGUGCUCGAGUGGCGAACGGGUGAGUAACACGUGAGUAACCUGCCCUUGACUUUGGGAUAACUUCAGGAAACCGGGGCUAAUACCGGAUAGGAGCUCCUGCUGCAUGGUGGGGGUUGGAAAGUUUCGGCGGUUGGGGAUGGACUCGCGGCUUAUCAGCUUGUUGGUGGGGUAGUGGCUUACCAAGGCUUUGACGGGUAGCCGGCCUGAGAGGGUGACCGGCCACAUUGGGACUGAGAGACGGCCCAGACUCCUACGGGAGGCAGCAGUGGGGAAUAUUGCACAAUGGGCGGAAGCCUGAUGCAGCAACGCCGCGUGCGGGAUGACGGCCUUCGGGUUGUAAACCGCUUUCGCCUGUGACGAAGCGUGAGUGACGGUAAUGGGUAAAGAAGCACCGGCUAACUACGUG
rnacentral:rRNA from 1 species